CCCAGCUAAGUUUCCGUUUAAGUUCACUAACCCAUUUCCUCUGUAGGUCUACAGGGGCUACCUGCCAAUGUGCAGGGAUUAAAUGAAGAAAUAAAGACCUAAGGCCUUUCUGGAAGCUAAAAACCCUAGGACUCCCUAAACACUUUGGAGUUUCAGCUCAGAAUCCCUUUGGUUAAGAGAAAUAAAUGCAGAAGGCCCCAAGCUCGAUGCUAAAGAUGUCUGUGAAAGAGUUCUGCAAGAAUAGGAUAUUUGCAGUCUCAUGUGCGAUAAUCAUUUCAGAAGUAGCUGCUGAUACAGGGAGCAUGCUUCAUCAAGACUCUGCGUAGCACAUGGAAGGGCGGGCUACACCAGUGACUACACAACUGAGGCAACCACAGGAGAUGAACUGCUAACUUUGAUUCCAAUGAGUCCCUGGUGUGUGACAUUGGAAUGUCACUUUAUUCCUCUACCCUCAGUUUCCUCAUCAAAGAUGGAAUUUUCUGAUCUGUGAUUUUUAAUUUUUUUUUUUUUUUAGACAGAAUCUUGCUCUGUCACCCAGGCUAGAGUGCAGUGGUGUAAUCUUGGCUCACUGCAACCUCUGCCUCCUGGGUUCAAGUGAUUCUCUGGUCUCAGCCUCCCAAGUAGCUGGGACUAUAGGCGCAUGCCACCAUGCCCAACUAAUUUUUGUAUUUUUAGUAGAGACAGAGUUUCACCAUGUUAGCUAGGAUGGUCUCGACCUCUUGACAUCGUGAUCCACCCACCUCAGCCUCCCAAAGUGCUGGGAUUACAGGAGCGAGCCACAGUGCUCAGCCUGAUCUGUGAUUUUUUAAGUGUUCCUUGGGGCUUUAUGAUGCCCUUUUAGAAAAGGUGGGGGCAAGGGCUUGAACUCUCACACCUG
rnacentral:lncRNA from 1 species